rnacentral:rRNA from 1 species
GAUGAACGCUAGCGGGAGGCCUAACACAUGCAAGCUGAGCGGUAGAGAUCUUUCGGGAUCUUGAGAGCGGCGUACGGGUGCGGAACACGUGUGCAACCUGCCUUUAUCAGAGGGAUAGCCUUUCGAAAGGAAGAUUAAUACCUCAUAAUAUAAUGAAUGGCAUCAUUUAUUAUUGAAAACUCCGGUGGAUAGAGAUGGGCACGCGCAAGAUUAGAUAGUUGGUGAGGUAACGGCUCACCAAGUCGAUGAUCUUUAGGGGGCCUGAGAGGGUGAUCCCCCACACUGGUACUGAGACACGGACCAGACUCCUACGGGAGGCAGCAGUGAGGAAUAUUGGACAAUGGGUUAGCGCCUGAUCCAGCCAUCCCGCGUGAAGGACGACGGCCCUAUGGGUUGUAAACUUCUUUUGUACAGGGAUAAACCUACCCUCGUGAGGGUAGCUGAAGGUACUGUACGAAUAAGCACCGGCUAACUCCGUGCCAGCCGCCGCGGUAA